CUAAAAUUGCGAAAGAGAUUGUUGAAAGGAUAGACAACGUGAACUUGUCUACCACCUUCAAAGUGAUUGAUGGAGAUUUACUGAAGGAGAAUAAAAGUUUCAAAAUCACUGUUAAAGCUACACCAAAGGGUACUGGAAGUGUAGUGCCCUGGACACUGGAGUAUGAGAAGCUGAAUAAAAAUAUUCCAGACCCACACUCUUUCCUUCAAUUUCUGAUUGAGGUCUCCAAAGAUAUUGAUGCCCAUCUUACCAAACCAUGAACUUCUAGCCUUAUUCAUCAAUAAACUGUUUGCUUGCUAUAUAUUAUAUAUAUGCGUGUGAUUAAGCUUACAGUGGAAUAUACAUGUAAUAAAUAAAGAAAUCAGUGAACCAGGUUGCUCAUAGGUUGGCUAGAGCAUCAGUUUCUGUAACUGGUUCCAUGGGGUGGGGUCCUGUCCAUCCAAGCAGAAUUGAUGAUGCUUUGCUCUUAAAUAUAAAUAAUAUAUAAUGCAGUUUGAAUUUUCAAAAAAAAAAAAAAAGUCUGGAUUUUAUUAAUCCUUCGAUCCUUUAUAUAUAUAUAUAAACUUUAAUUGUAUGUGGUUUUUCUUGAUGUACUAAUAGAUGUGAGUUUUAUUAAGGAUGUCUCCAUGCUCUUAUUUAAAAAGUUUUGGCUAUAUAUAUAUAUAUAUAUAUAUUUAUAUCAGUGAAAAGGAAUAUAAAAAAUCAAAUGUGUCAAACUUAAUGAAAUGAAAGGAACAUAAACAGAAAGACAGAUAAAACAUAAAAAAACAAAUGUUGUAGAAGAUCCAAAAAUGAGAACAAUAAUAUAGUGAUGAUCAUAAAUCAAGAAUUUACAGAAACUCACCAUAUUCUGAAAAUUGUCAUUUUCUAAACUCUUAAACUAUUCCUAUAAAACGGAAUUUAAAGAAAAAUCACCAUAUUCUGAAAAUUGUUAUUUUCUAAACUCAUUUAUCAAUCACCUAUAUAAAAUUUAAAGGAAUAUUUUCGUUGAUAUUAUAGAAUUAACAUGCAAGUCUGAUAUUCAUAAAAAAUUAUACAAUUCAAUUAUGCUAGUUAUUUGUUUGUUCAAAUAAAAAAUUAUUUGUUUAUACAAUUCAAUUCAAUUAGCGUUUGAACUAGUUUUAAGAGGUUAAAAUAUCGUUUUAUAAAAAUUUAACCCAUAUAAUAUUUAGCUUUUAGUAUUUUAUGAAAAGCUAUUUAACCAGCUAAUAGCUAAACCUACUAAAACAGCUAAUAGCUACCAAAAUAAUUAAUUUUGUCGAGCAGACUAUAAACGUGGACUUCUUAUUUUUGAAAGAAAAAGUAGACAUUUAAGUAGUCCAUUUUUAUUUAUAAACAUAUAGUACAACUAAAAUUAUCCACAAAGUUUGGAGUUUUUUUUUAAUAAUCUAGAAAUAUUACUGUUUUGUUCUUUUUUUUCCCACCGUCAAAAAUACACUCAUUUGAACCAAAACAUUGUAAUUGAUUUGAUAUAUAUGUGACCACUUAUCUAUCCCUAAAUUGUAGUACCACUUAUCUUGAUAAAAUAAAAUAAUAUAAAUAAAUAAAUAAAUAAAAUACUUUUUUCUAAAAAAUAUUGAUAAUAUUGACGUUAGACAACUAAUUUCUGAAUUAGCAAUUAGAUUCAUGAGGGACUGAUUUCCUUCCCUUAAAAUGAUAGUAUUAAAUUUUGGUUAUUAUUUCCUAUUAAGCCAUCAAUAUAUUGACUCUUGAAAUAUCGUUUUUCAUUUCUCAAAAAAAAAAAAAAAAAAAAAAAACUUUUUUUCAAUUGCUUUGAAAACUAAUCUAACAUCAUUUUGAAAAAAAAUAGUAGCGAAGUCAUUCGAUUUGAUUGAUUUAUACACUUGAGCUAAAAUUUUAAUCAAUAGCUAAUAAUUGUUAGAAUUACAUAUUAGCAACUAAUAUCAUCAUCAUUUUUGAAGCAUUUUCGUAUUGAUUUAUAUUAUAUUUAAAUUAUAUUAAAUUUAUAAAAAUAAUUAUGACUAAUUUCCUUUUCAAUUUAAAAAUUUCAUGUGAUUAUUUUACUUAUAAUUGUUUUAAAUAAAUAAAUAAUCAUUAAAAAUUAUUAUAAAUAUAAUUUAAAUGAUAAUUUCGCUAUACCAUACAUUAAAAUUAUUAUUUUUUCAUAGUUUAGAUUGUAAAACUCUAUUAGCUGAGUUAAGACAAAUUUCUUUUACUUUUAUUAAGAAAUUUGUGAAUCAAGUUGCUCGUAUCAUGUAAGGGCAUCUAUUUCUAUGACUAAUUUACAUGGAGGGUAUGCUUUUCUUCUUUUUUUGUAUGACAUCUUAGCUUUUUGAUUCCAAGAAUAUGAACCGAAGCUCGGGUAUUCCUUUCAAAAAAUAAAAUAAUACAUUCCCUUUAAGAAAUUAUAUAUAUAUAUAUAUAUAUAUAUAUAUCAAUUUGUUGUAAAUAAUUAUUUUAAAAAAAAUGCAAAUUUGGUUAUAUAUUAAUAUAAUCAAAAGUCAAAGCAUCCAAUUGGAGGAGAAUAACCCCACUAUUGUAAAUAAUUCUUUAAGAGAUCAGUGUAGACAAAAUAAAUAAACUUCAAGACGUAAUACAAAAUUAUAUAACAUAUGUGUCAAACACUUAACACAACAAAUUGAACUGCUUUUGGGAAAUAUUAAAUUAGUUUUUAAUAUCAACGAUUCAAAACUAUAAUUUAAUUGCUCAAUAUGAAUAAAUUAAUUUUCGAUUUAAUAGCCAAAACUUGCAAAAUUGAAGAAGUUCGAAAUGUGUUUAAUUAGCUUAAAAAAAUCAUGAUCAUAAAUAUGAUCAUACAUAGGCACAUAAAUUUCACACUAUCCAUAUAAAUAUUAAAAAAAAAUAUUAUUUUGCAUAAAUUUCACACGAUCCAUGUAAAUAUAUAAAAACAGAGGUAUAGAAAUUGACAUGGCAUAAAAUUAGAUAUUUAAAGUGAUGACUUGACAUCUAACUUGGCAUUAUUUUUUUGCAUUUUUAAUUUAAUUAAUUUUUUUAUAAUUUUGCAUAUGUAUUAUGUUAAAUAAUUCCUAUUGAAAAGUGAUAUUAAAUCAAAUCUUGAGUAAUUGUAUUAAUGACAUCAAAACCAAUAUCAAGGAAUUGAAAAGACAAUCUAUAGUUAAGGAAUUUCUCUAAUUUUUCAUUUUCAAUACAAAUAUUUUGUUGUUCAGAAUCAUCAUUUAAAACUUUAUACGUUAUAUUUGCUUUUAUUUUAGCUUCUUUUCUUCUUAUCAUGUUUGUUUUAAUUCUUAAUUUAAAUUAUGAGAUUUCAAAUAUAGUACCCAUAUUUUAUAAAUUGGAUUGCAUUAAAAAUAUUAUAAAGUUUAUUGUAUUUAAAAUUCUAAAAUUCAUGUUACAUGUCAAUCAAAUCUAAAAUCAAUAAUAUUUCGUAAAUUUAAAAUAUACACAAAUUAGUUUCCACCUUUCAUUGUUCAAUUAAAUUACCUAAGUGGAUUAUUUAAAUAAAAGGAAAAAACACCUAAGAUCCUUCCUAACAUUUUUUUGUAAAAAGCAAUAUUUCAUAAUUUGUGCAUCGCGCAGGCUCACGACUAGUUAUAACAAAUAAUUUUUAAAAAUGACUAUUAUGAUCGGUAGAUGAACCGAAUGCAACAAUUUUGUUGGUUAAAAUAUUAUUCCAAGUAAUGUCACUACAAAAAAUUCAGCAAUUACUGAUAGAACUUUUUUCAUUGGUAAUUAGCGAUAAAUUACAGAUCGAAUUAAAUUUUGUUGGCAAUUAAGAGCACUAAAUAUUCACGCUAAUUUUUUAUUUCUACCAAUGGAUUAGCGACAGAUUACCGACAGAAUCACCGAUGAAUUUUAAAUUUCGUAGGUAAAAAAAUCACUAUAUGUUCGCACCUAUUUUUAAUAAUUUACCAAUGAUCACCAACCAAUUAUCCAUAGAUUAGCGACGAAAUAUAUUCCGUCGCUAAUCCAUAGCUAUUUACCAACAGAUUACCAAUAAAAUUCAAAAAAAUAAAAAUAAAAAUUAAGGCGGUAUAAAUGGGCUGUAAAUUAUCAAAUUUAAGGAUUUUAGAAUUUAGCGACGGAAAUUCCGUCAGUAAAUUUUAAAUAUUUUGGAGCCAUAAAUAGGCAGCAAGAUAAAUAAAUUAGUGACGAAAAUUUUCAAUUUACGACGAAAUUUCCAUCGGUAAUCGCAGAAUCUAUAAUAUAAAUUCAUAUAUUUCUUCUUCCUUCAUUUUUUCCUGUCAUUUUAUUUCUACUUUUUUUUCCUUCUUCUUCUUCUUUUUCUUUCUUUCUUUCUUUCUUCUUUUUCUUCUUCUUAUUCUUGACGUACGUUUCUCUUUUUUUUUUUUUUUUUACCUUUUUCUUACUCUUCUUUUACUCCUUUUGUUUUUUACUUCUUCUCCUUCAUGUUUUUAUUUUUCAUUCUAUUCUCCUUUUCCUCCAUUCUUAUAUAUAUUUUUUUUCCUCUUCUUCUUUUCUAGUUCUAUGUUUCCCUCAUUCUUCUUUUCUUUCUUCUCCUUCACCUUCUUUUCUUUUUCCUUCAUGUUCAUUUUUCUUCUUCUCCUCUAUUUUUAUUUUUCUACUUCUAUUUCAUCUUCUUUUUUCUUCUCCUCUUCUCUAUUUGUUUUCUUCUUUUCUUUUUCUUUUUUUUUUCUUCCUUUAUAAUUAAUUUUCUUUAACUAGCUUAGUUAUUAAUCAAAUUUAAUUGGUAUGAUUGUUAAGACGUAAUUAAUUUAGUUGAUUUGAUUAUUAAUUAUGAAACUUUUAAAAAAAAAUUCAAAAAUACUAUAAUUUAAAAUUUUUAUUUUUUAAAAUAUUUUAAAAAUACCGACGGAUUAGUGACAAUUUACUGACGAAAAUUGCCGACGGAAUAACAACCAUAUAUUUUGCAAACCAAUUACAAAUAAAUUAUAAAUAUAUCCUACCACUAAAUUACCGACGGAAUUAAUAAAUUUACUGAUGGAAUUUCCAUUAGUAAUUAUUCGAUGGAAUAAAUUUUUGGUCGGUAAUAUUUUAUCGACGAAUAUUUUCCGUCGGUCUUUCGUCGGCAAAUCUAAUUACCGAUGGAUUUUUAUAUUUUACCAACGGAAAAUUCCGUUGGUAAUAACUAUUAAAUUAUAGGGUAUGUCAUAAGUUAUUUUUUGGUAUCCACGUAUGCAUCUCUUUUACUGACAUUUCACUUUAAUUUCUAAAUUAUAAUUAUUAAAUUUUAUUUAUUUAUAAUUAAUUUCCAUAAAUUUAGAACUCAUUGAUUAGUAUCUUUAGCUGAAUGAGUUACUUUAAAAAUAAUAGCUAGAUGGAAGUUAACCAAGAUGUCUCUCACCGUUCACCGUUUUGUCGAGGGUGUUCAUUUUUACCCCUUUUCAUAGUUCUUCUUUAUUUUAUUUAAUUAUUUUUUUAUAAUUUUCAAAUCUAUAAAUUUUAACAAUAAAAUUUAAAUUUAGUCCCUCAGAUCUAUAAUAGUUUAUAGAUCUUGAGUGUUUUUUAUACCCUUUUAAUAUAGUUAUGUGUUUUAAUUGUUGAUUAUUGUAAUUGGAGACUUCAAUAUUCAAGUUUCGGCAAAUUUCUUUUUACCCUUUGGUACUGCUUUUCGGAAAAAUAAAGUUAUAAUUUAAUUUUCAAGAACCUGAGUGCAUCAAAUGGCUUGAUUCAAAAAAACCCAGUUCAGUAAUUUAUAUAAAUUUUGGAAGCACAACAGUUAUGUCCAAUGAGCAUGUAGUUGAGCUUGCUUGGGGACUUGCUAAUAGUACCCAUAACUUUUUCUGGAUAACAAGGCCGGAUUUAAUAAUGGGAGAUUCUGCAAUUUUGCCACCAGAAUUUUUGGUUGAAACUAAAGAAAGAGGAUUUCUAGCAAGUUGGUGUCCACAAGAAGAAGUUCUAAACCACCCUUCAGUUGCAGGGUUUAUAACCCAUUGUGAGUGGAAUUCAAUAGUGGAGAGUAUUUCUGCUGGUGUACCUGUAAUUUGUUGGCCAUUGUUUGGUGAACAUUUUGUUAAUUGUAGAAAAAGUUGCAAUGAAUGGGGUGUUGGGAUUGCAUUGAGUAAUAAUUUUCAAAGAAAUGAAGUUGAAAAUCUUGUUAGUAAUAUGUUGAUGUGGCCGUUGUGAGACCCUCACCAUAACAUGUCACUUACUACUGUAAAUUUGCAAGGUAUAAUUGUUAAAAAAAUUAGCUCAAAUUGUUAAAAUGCCAAAGUUUAUGGCUUUUUUAGUUAAUUUCAAGAAAAAAAACCGAUAUUUUUUUUAGUUAUUUGUAAAUUUUCAACACUCAUGUUAUAAUAAUUAAAUAUUAAAGAAGAUCUAAAAAUUCAAUAAAAUUAUCAAUAUAGUACAACAGGGAAAACCAAAUGUUGUAUAAUUAAUUAAUCGCAAAUUCGCUUUAAUUUGAAAGUGAUAGUAUUAUUUGUAAGAACCUCUUUAAUAAUAUUAUCGUGUUAUUUAAACUUGUUCUUUUCUUUAGAAAGAUCAACGUCAAAUACUUUUACACUAAGUUUUUCUUGAGAAAUUUAUACAUGAAUGGUAAAUAUUUAUCAAUCUUCAUUAUUGAAAUUUAUUAUAUAAAUGGUUAAGUUUAGCACCUUUCGAAUUUUCAAGUUAUAAUCUCCUUUUCAAAUUUUUUUCUUCCUUUAUUUUGUGUCAUAUAAUUAUUAUUUUCAAGUAAUUCUUAUUAAAAUAAAAUAACUUUUUUUAGCAUAAUAUUGAUUGUUUGCCAUUAAUUAUUAUAAUAUAUCAUUUAAAAUAAAAGUUAUUUAAUUAAAAUUUAUAAAAAUAUUUAACUAUAUUUAUUAAAUUAAAAUUGAAAAUUGCAAGUUAUAAAAUUAUUUAUUGAUAAAUAAAUUAUAUAAAUAUUAGAAAUUAAUUUUAAUAUCAAAAACCUGAUCUAUUGUCAACUUGUAUAUACACUUACCACUAGACUAUACUUUGGUGUGCAUGUAAUAAUCUUCACAAAAAUUGGUAAACUAAUAAACUUUGGCCUAGUGACUAAAAAAACCCUGAACUUUGGCAUUUUUUAACAAUUUUGGCCAACUCUUUUAAUAAUUAUACCUUGCAAAUUUACAGUAAACAAAUGACAUAUCAUGGCGAGGCUUUCACUAACGGCCACAUCAGCAUAAUAGUAAUAGUUGAUGAAUGGAGACCAUAAUUGUUAAGAAAAAAAAAUUACUUUGUAGUAUCAAUUGUAGCAAUUAAAAAAAUUGGCCAAAAUUAUUAAAAAGGCCAAAGUUCAUUUUUUUUUUUUAGUUAUUAGGCCUAAUUACAUUGUUGUAUUGAAAUAAUUUUUUCAAAUUGUUUAUUUUAGCUUUGAAGUUCGUCUUUUUCAAAUGUUCCAAUGAAAUUUUAUUUUCAAUUAGUUUUUUUUUUAAAUCGAAUAAAUAGUUUAAUAAUCGAGUAUUCCCUAAUCCACACAAAACAAUGGAAGAUAAGAAUUUGAAUUAUAUCAUGAAAUGAUCUCAUAAGCAAAAGAAGCUCAAGUUAAGGGCAUAACAAAGUUCUUCAAAUGUUAAGAUCAUAUUAACACCACGAUUCAGUCUUAUGAAAAUGAUUUUAGAAAAGCAUCUGAAGCUUAACCUCUCACCUUAUUUCAAAGAAUUUAUGGCAUUAGUAAUGAUAAAUAUGACUAUAUAGAUUGCAAAUUUAUGGAACAAAGGGAUCAGAAUCUGCAAUUUUGCCAACAGAAACUUUGGUUGAAACUAGAAAAGAAAUAAAGGUCAGUCUGAUCCUAAACUUGUUUAACAGGAUAAAAAGAUCAAAUUUGACCUUUCGGGCCAAUUUAUCUAUUGAACUUGUAUAGAAUGAUUAAAAAGAUCUGAUUUCACUUUUUAGGUCAAUUUAACCCCUGAACUUAUUUAAAAUGAUUAAAAAAUCAUAUUUGACAUUUUGAGUCAAUUUAACAUCUAAUUAUUCAUUGUACUUACAAUGUGAAAAUUAUUAUGAUUUUAAAAAAAAUAAUCAUAUUUGACAUUUUGAGUCAAUUUAACGUCUAUUUCUUCAUUAUACUUAGAAUGUGAAAAUCAUUAUAUAGAGAUUUGUUAAAACUAUAGUUGGGAUCGAUCUGAAUAAUUUAUUAAAAUAUUAAUUAAUUAUAAAAUAUAGAAAAAUGAUAUAUAAAGUAUAUUAUAUCUCUCUUUAUCUUAAUUAAUGGUUUUGAAUUUAUAAAUAUGUAUUAAUUUGAACAUUUUAAAAUUAACCUCUAUUACUGGGUUAUCGCUUAUGAAAUCUAUAAAUUUUUCAUGUUGAAUAAAUUAAAAUUAUAAUGCAUGUUUAUAAAUUUAUUAUAUUACAAUAAACGAUGUUUUUAUGAAUUUUAAAUUUAUAUUCAUAAAUGUUAAAAAAAUUUGAUCCGAGUGUUCUUAGUAUAGGACAAAAUGGAAUAAAAAGUCAAUUUAAAAAUCAAAAUAAGUUACUUGAAGGGUUAAAUUGGCUUAUAAGUGAAAUAGAAUCUUUUUAAUCAUUUAUACAAGUUUAAGGGCUAAAUUAACUCAAAAAAUCAAAUCUGACAUUUUUUAUCCUACUAAAUAAAUUCAGAAACCAAAUUGAGUUUUAUUCCAAUUUAAAAAAGAGGUGUUAUUACAAGUCAGUGUCCACAGGAGAAACUAUUAGAUCACCCUUCAAAUGGAGAGUUUAUGAACCAGUGUGGGUGGAAUUCAAUAAUGAAAAGCCUUUGUGUUGGGGUACCCUUGAUUUGUUGGCCAUAUUUUGGAGAACAUUUUGGCAGUUGCAUAAAUUGUUGCUAUAAAUUGGGUUUUGCAAUUAAAUUUUUAUUAGUGAUUUUAAAAGAGAUGAGGUAGAGAAGGUUGUGAAGGAGUUGAUGGUUGGAGAAAAUGGCAAAAUAAUUUAGGAUAGAGCUACAUAGUGGAAAUAAUUUUUUUCUAAAAAUUUGAACCGAAACAAAUCAAUUUGAUUUGAGUACAUAGGCAAUUCAAUUCAUUUCGAUAUUUUUGUAAAAAUUUUAAUUUGUGCAGUUUAUAUUGAUCCAAUUCAAUUCGGUUAAAUCAAACUGACUGAAUUCAUUCACUAAAGUUGAGCCAACUAUCGAUUUUAGAUGGACCUAAUUUAUUGGUUUAAUAUUCUUGUAGUUUUUGUAUAGUUUGAUAUCAUUCAAAUUAGACAUUGAUCAUUCCCAGUAGCCAUAGAAACAACGUCGUAUAAUUCAGGACAAAAACCCUUCCCUUUCCCUUCUUCAAAAUCUAUUAAUUAUAAAAAUUAUUGGACAAUAAUAUUGCAAAAUAAAAUAGAGAAGACACGUAUACAUAUUUUUUCUAAUUAAAAUAAAUAAAUAAAAAGUUAAACUAAAAGGAUAUUUAAAAAGAUAAAUAGAAUUUAUUUUCUCCAAUUAAAAGACAAUAAAAAAUACAACUAAAAUGAUAACUAAAUAGAUAUAUUAGGAAUUUUAAAUUAAUCUAAGGCUAUUACAGUAAAUUUCAUUAUUUCUUUUUAUUCCACAUUUAUAUAUAAUAUCGAUAUUUAAUUUAAAAUAAUUUUAAGUAUUAAAUAAUUAUUAUACUUUCUGCAUUUUUAGCAUAAGGACAGUACACUGCUGUGGCGGUGCCCACUCAAGUGGGACCCACACGUUUUUAUUGGUGAUGACGUGCCCACUCAGUGGAACCCGCACACGUGAUGAAAGAAAAAAAGAAAAGAAAAAAAAAGGAAAGAAAAAUUGGCAUGCAUUUUGACAAAAAUGGAGAGCCGUGAAUGAGUUAUACAUGGCUCUCUUGUCUACCUCUCCUAUAAAUAGGUGAACGUUUCUCAUCUCACAACACACAGCCACAGAUAGAAAUUAAUCUGUGAAGAGAGAUUUGAGAGUUAUUCAGUUUUAAGAAAGAGUUCUUAAAAUUAAGGGUCUAGAAAAAUAAUGAAAAUUAUUGGGGUGUUUUUUUGGGAAACACUUUUGAGUGCCACUAUUUUUGUAUUACUCUCUUUGUAAGCCUAUUAUUUUUCAGUGGAAGAACUAUUCGGAGUUGGUCCCGUGGACGUAGCCCUAAACAGUUAAUGGUGAACCACGUAAAAUUCUAUGUGUCACAAUUUUAUUCUUCCACUGCCUUAAUUAUUCUCACAAUUUAUUGUCGGUAUCCUAACAAGUGGUAUCAGAGCCGAAGUUUCAGGUCCAAUCAGACUGAUAGCGUACCUGAUCCGUGGAUAUAUUUUGAAAAUAAAUAUACCACGAUGAAGAGAAAAUUACGACGAGUCCAUUGGUGCAGUCCUUUGAAAAGACGUUGCAGAAUCAACUUAGUGGUGAAUAGUAAAAUAGUCACAAUUUUAUGCUUUGGAGAUGAGAAGCCAGUAUUAGUCGGUUACAUCGAUGCAGAUAUGGCUGGGGAUGUUGACUCAAGAAAGUCUACAUCAAGAUAUCUAAUCACAUUUGCAGGGGGCGCCGUGUCGUGGCAAUCAAGAUUACAGAAAUGUGUUGCUCUACAAACCUUAAGGGGUGAAUUAAUUAUUUGCUCUUAUUAAGUUUUAGGGUAUUUUAGUCUUUUUAAAAGGUUUUAAUGGAAAUAUAUAGAGAAAAUUGACGAAAGGACUAAGUGAUUUAACGAAAGUAAACCUUAAAGACUAUUAAUUAAUAUUGCCAAACUGCUAGGUGAUUUAGUUAGUUUGGUCAAAUCUCAUAGCCGAAUUAAUUAUUUUUUCUUUUUUUUUAUUUGAUCUAAGCUUGGGCCGACCUAGAAAAAAGUUAAAAAUUUCUUGUCCAAGCUCAGCUCAACUCGGCCCAUAGUUAUUAAAUCCGAUGGCUCAAACUAAAAAUCAGUGGACCGACUUCAAAAACGGAUCGAUUUUGCUUUUGAACCAUUUAACGAAGAGAACCGAAUUGAAUUGGCUGAUCCGUAGUGAACUAGUCAAGCCGCACAGAUCCGAUUGACAGAAUGAUUUUUUUAUAUUUUUUAAUUAUUAUUUAUUAUUAUUAUUAUAUUUAUUUAAUUAAUAUAUAUUAUUAAUAUUCUAUGACCCACUAACUGAUCCAUUGAUCCACUAAUUAAAUGAAUAAUCUAUCCAUCCGAUUCUUUUGCCGGAUCAAUAUCCGGGACGGGUUUAAUAACAUGGCUCGGCCAACCCGAACUUAUGUAGGCCUACAACUUUGCCUUCAUUUUCAAGCCUGGCUAAUCAUAAUUGAUCUCAUUGUGGGCCAACCUGAAUCAGGCCAGGCUUAAAAAUGAUUGCCCAAUUCUAGUUUUUGAAUUGGGCAAACUAAAUGGGUGGGGCGGAUAUCCGGUUCCAUGAUCAGGUCUAUAUAGGAGUGAGCAGCGAGCAUUAUUAUAUUCGAACUAAAAAAUAAAAUGUCUCAAAUUGAAUCCAAAUUAUUUGCAGAUCCAAGCAAUGAAGGAGCAGCAAAUAAGAAUUUAGACAGUGUAAUGGAAUGGAUACCAGGAAUGAAAGGAGCACAAGUUAGAGACCUCUCCAAAUUUUUCAAAUCAAAGCAACAAUUUGGCUCCAUGGAAGAUUCUAGUGAAGGUGAUUUAACAAGAGCCUCAAAAGCCUCUGCUGUUAUAUUCCAUAGCUUUGAUGCCCUAGAAAGUGAAGUCCUAAAUGACAUCUCACCCAUGUUUCAAAAGGUCUAUAGCAUUGGCCCUCUGCAAUUGCUUCUAGACCAAAUUGGUAAUAACCGUUACAAUUCUAUGGACUGCAAUUUAUGGAAUGAAGAACCUGAGUGCAUCAAAUGGCUUGAUUCAAAAAAACCCAGUUCAGUCAUUUAUAUAAAUUUUGGAAGCACAACAGUUAUGUCCAAUGAGCAAGUAGUUGAGCUUGCUUGGGGACUUGCUAAUAGUACCCAUAACUUUUUCUGGGUAACAAGGCCAGAUUUAAUAAUGGGAGAUUCUGCAAUUUUGCCACCAGAAUUUUUGGUUGAAACUAAAGAAAGAGGAUUUCUAGCAAGUUGGUGUCCACAAGAAGAAGUUCUAAACCACCCUUCAGUUGCAGGGUUCAUAACCCAUUGUGGUUGGAAUUCAACAGUGGAGAGUAUUUCUGCUGGUGUACCUGUAAUUUGUUGGCCAUUUUUUGGUGAACAUUUUGUUAAUUGUAGAAAAAGCUGCAAUGAAUGGGGUAUUGGGAUUGAAUUAAGUAAUAAUUUUCAAAGAAAGAAGUUGAAAAUCUUAUUAGUAGUAUGCUAAUGUGGCCGUUAGUGAGACCCUCAUCAUGACAUAUCACUUACUUACUCUAAAUUUGCAAGAUAUAAUCGUUAAAAGAAUUAGCUAAAAUUUUUAAAAAUGCCAAAAUUUAGGGUUUUUUUAGUCAAUUUCAAGAUACUCACAAAUUUUCAACACUGUUAUAAUAAUUAAAUAUUAAAAAAGAUCUAAAAAUCAAUAAAAUUAUCAAUAUAGUACGAGAGGAAAACCAAAUAUUGUAUAAUUAAUCGAUCGCAAAUUCGCUUUAAUUUCAAAGUAAUAAUAUUAUUUGUAGGAACCUCUUCAACAACAUUAUUGCUUUAUUUAAACUUGUUCUUUUCUUUAGAAAGAUCAACAUCAAAUAUCUUUACAAUAAUUUUCUUGAGAAAUUUAUACAUGAAUGUAAAUAUUUAUCGAUCUUUGUUAUUGAAAUUCAUUAUAUAAAUGGAAAAGUUUAGCACAUUUCGAAUUUCAAGUUAUAAUCUCCUUUUCAAUUUUUUUUUCCUUUAUUUUGUGUCAGAUAAUUAUUAUUUUCAUUUAAUUCUUAUUAAAAUAAAAUAGCUUUUUUUAGCAUAAUAUUGAUAGUUUGUUAUUAAUUAUUAUAAUAUAUCAUUUAAAAUAAAAAUUAUUUAAUUAAAAUUUAUAAAAUAUUUAACUAUAUUUAUUAAAUUAAAUUUGAAAAUUACAAGUUAUAAAAUUAUUUAUUGAUAAAUAAAUUAUAUAAAUAUUUGAAAUUAAUUUUAACUAUUAUCAAGUUGUAUAUACACUUACCAUUAGGCUAUACCUUAGUGUGUAUAUAAUAAUCUUGACUAAAAUUGGUAAACUAACAAACUUUGGCCUAAUGACUAAAAAAACCCUGAACUUUGGCCUUUUAAACAAUUUUGGCCAAUUAUUUUAAUAAUUUCGGUCAAUUCUUUUACAAUUAUACUUUAUAAAUUUACAAUAAACAAUGCCACAUUAGCAUAGUAGUAACGGUUGAUGAACAAAGACCACAAUUGUUAAGAAAAAAUUACUUCAUGGUAUCAGUUGUAACAAUUGUUGACGCGUGUUUUUAUACCCCGCCUGAUCCGAUGAGGACACGAGGAUGAAUGGGUCAAUGCCAUCUUUUAAUCCAAGGAUUUAAACAAAAAAAUAAUAAUAAUAAUAAAUAAAUAAAUAAAAAUAAAUAAAUAAUAAAAAAAAGAAAAAAAAGAAGACGCGUGCUACAGUAGCCACGUGCUUAGGUGAUUUAAACCAUAAAAAGAAAAAUUAAAAGAUAAAAAAAAACAUAUCAAUCCUUGAAAACAAAGCUUCUGGAGACAUUUGAUCCAUUUACAUUCCUCAAUCUGAGAAUCAGGUAAUUUUCUUAACAUUUUUGUAUUUUUUCUUUACAUAUUUUUGUGUUUUUUUUCACAUAUUUUUGUGAUUUUAGUAAUUUAAGCUUCUUUAAAUUGUAUUCUGUUCAUAUUUGGCUAUUUUAUAUGUCCUCAAAACAUAUUUAAACAAGAAAUGAUGUAAAAAAUCACUUAAAAUGAAUUCUGGGCAAAAGUCACGCAGCUGUUCAUCGAUGAACAGUAACUGUUCAUCAAUUUUCCCAGAAUUGAUCGAUGAACAGUAACUGUUUGUUCAUCAAUGAACAAUAUUGUUCAUCAAUUUUUUCAGAAAUAAUAAUAAUAAUAAAAUAUAAAUUUUACAUAAAAAUAAAUUUUAAGGACUGAGAAUGCCCAAAUAUGAACAGAUCACAGUUUAAUUAAGCUUAAAAUAUUAAAAUGUGAUUAUAUAUAUUUAUUUGUAUGAAUUUUAUUAUUUUAUUAUUUUAUUAUUUGUAUGAAUUUUUAUUGGUUUAUGGAUUUAAUUNNNNNNNNNNNNNNNNNNNNAAUUUGAAUAAUUGUUAUGUGAUAAUUAGAUUUGUUUGGGACGAUUAAAUAAUUUUUCAAAUAGGAACUCGGUCCGAUUUAUUUGGGUUGGGUUUAAGUAAACAAAUAAUUUGGCUUUUCUAACUAAAAUAAAUUAGAAAUCAUAGGUUAAUAGAGGCCGGUUUUCUGGGCGUCGGCUUCCAACGGGCCGACGUACCCAAUUCCCUUACCCAGAAUCGUAUUGAUGCGCCUGACCAGUCCUUUUGAAAUAAUUUGGCCUUAAAACAAAAUUGGGUUUAAAAUGGAGUCAUUUUUAUAAAAACGGUCACAUUGCCGAAACAAUGGGUGGCGACUCAAAAUUGUUUAUAAGACCGAUUUAUCGACACCGCAUCAAAAAUAAACACAUUUCAUCAAAAAUCACAAAAGGAUGUUUUCGGGUCCUUCGGGGGGAUUUUCGACGAAAACAAAUUGGCGACUUCACUGGGGAUACAACCACUAGUCCCCGAUUAUUUUUAAUAAUUAGUUGGUUGUGAUUAGGAAUUAACUCUAAAAACCUAUCUUUUCUAAAAAAAUAAAAUUGGUUAGAAAGCCGUUGGAAAAUUUUUAAUCGUCCGUAUAUGUUUAAUUGCUUUCCUUUUUUUUUAUAGGAUUUUUGUAUUCAUUCGCAUUUCUCUCUUCUCACCUCAUUCUACCCAUGCUACCCUUCGGUACUGGUGUUAAGUUUGACGGUGGAUCCAGCCUAAACCUUGCGUUUUAAGUACAUCCAUCCGAGAAUUAACAUUACUACCAACCGCAAGCCUAGUACCUUUUAAAGGUGCGUCAAAAGGAGUAAGCCCAUAAAAAAGCCCGAAUCCUGUUUGCGGAACCCAGACUUUGUAAAGCCUAAUGGACUAAAGUCCAUGCAUGUAGUCAAAAAAUCUUAGUUACUUACCCUAAGGAACACCUGAUUCUGUUUGCUGUUAUUAUGCCGCAUUCAUUUCCGAGAGUUUAUUUCGUCAAUCUCAAAACCCCCUGUUGGNNNNNNNNNNNNNNNNNNNNNNNNNNNNNNNNNNNNNNNNNNNNNNNNNNNNNNNNNNNNNNNNNNNNNNNNNNNNNNNNNNNNNNNNNNNNNNNNNNNNNNNNNNNNNNNNNNNNNNNNNNNNNUAUGUUGUGACAUUCAUGCACCACGUAAUAUUUUUCUUUUCAGCCAUGCAUUUAAGAGCUAAUUUCCGGUAUGGACGUUUGACCUUGAUUCUGAGACUGGAUCUCAAAUUUGUUUUGACUAAAAUGAUGCAAUCACUUAUAGCGGAUUUAUACCUAAAAGAAAAGGGAGAUAUAAGGGGGUUGCGAUUGUAUUUUCACAUUUUUCGCAUUAUCUGAAAAUAAGUGAGAGAUAUUUUCAAAAAAUAAAAUAAAAAAUAAAAAACAAAAAAAUAUAAUAAAAAAAAAUCUUUUUUACUCUGUCACCUUCAGGUUCGGGAGGCCUAGGGAUUUUUUGUCCUUUGUUUUUCAUUUCUUUUUAAUUUCUUGUGUGUUUUAUGCAUGUGCAUUUUGUAUUUUAUGCGUGUAUCCUCCCACGAUGAAGACAUUGUGUCUUUCAAGUGUGAAGGAGAACUAUAUUUUCAUUUCAUUUCACUUAUAAAAAAAAUAGACAAAAAAUUUGAUAAUUUAAAAAAAAAUAAAAAAUAAAAAGGGUCAACUUCUUUGCCUUAGUUCAAUGUUUUAGUCUCUACAUAUUGAUUGGUUUAUAUUUUGCUUGUUGAAAUAGAAGUCUUGAAUAAUAUACCAUGAUUAAGAGAUUUAAAUGAUUUUAUGAACUUAGUUAUUAAGAUAUGACAUAUAAAAUUUUUCUUUGCAAAUAUUAAUCUUUAAUUUAUCCUUGACAUUAGAGAAGCAUGAAUCCUAACUUAAAUGAAGAAUAGGAAGGAAAGGGAAACUAAAGNNNNNNNNNNNNNNNNNNNNNNNNNNNNNNNNNNNNNNNNNNNNNNNNNNNNNNNNNNNNNNNNNNNNNNNNNNNNNNNNNNNNNNNNNNNNNNNNNNNNNNNNNNNNNNNNNNNNAUGGUACGGAGCAUAAAAUGCAAUCACUUACUAUUUACAUUCCCCAUAAAAAAAUGCGGUACAAGUGGUACGGAGCAUAAAAUGCAACCACUUUGUGNNNNNNNNNNNNNNNNNNNNNNNNNNNNNNNNNNNNNNNNNNNNNNNNNNNNNNNNNNNNNNNNNNNNNNNNNNNNNNNNNNNNNNNNNNNNNNNNNNNNNNNNNNNNNNNNNNNNNNNNNNNNNNNNNNNNNNNNNNNNNNNNNNNNNNNNNNNNNNNNNNNNNNNNNNNNNNNNNNNNNNNNNNNNNNNNNNNNNNNNNNNNNNNNNNNNNAACACUUCAAUCUCUUAUCUUUGGUCUAUUACUUAAGAAGUCUAAAUCAACGAGCAAAAAUAAACAUGAUCAACAUGAGUUCAAAAAAGAUUAAUGUUUUGCUUAGGGACAAGCAAAGAGCUAAGUGCGGAGGAAUUGAUAGCUUCGCAAAGUGGGCAAAUUUUGUUAUUUUCAAAUGAUUUGCAUGACUGCAUGUUGUUUUUAUACAUUUUACGUUUGCUUGUGUUGUUUUUGUUUUAAAGUGAUUAUAGGAAUACAAUUUAAAAAAAAUAAUAAUAAUAAUAAAUUUAAAAAAAAAUGUUUUUUAUACAUGAGGGAGUUGCAUAUUUUAUCUCUUUUUGAAUAUUGCAGAUCACUCUAUCUUUUCAAAAAAAAAAUGUAAAUUUCCGUCUUUAGCUAAAUAAUCCACUUUAAUGUUCUUUCAUUUCUUAAUCUAAGGGCAGGAGACCCAAAAGCUAAUCCAGCAAAUAAUUCGAAAGAAAAGAUUUGUUGUUAUUUUUUGUUGUCUUUAAGUGCAGGAAACAGGCAUCAAUAAAGAGAGAAUCAGUGGAUUUAUUCAUUAAAAAGAAAAAUGAGAGGGAUACAAUAAUUGGGAGCUCAUAGCCCUCCGAAAUACAAAAAAAAGAAAAGCGGUGGAAGCAAAAAAAAAAAGAAAAGCGGUGGAAGCAUUCGGAGAAAAAGAGAUAGACAAAUGGCAUCUGGAUAAAGCGGUGGACCACUCUUGCAAUAGAUGAGCAUUUAUGCCCGCAUUAACUGAACCACUCUCGCAGGUGAGUUGGAUGCCUCCUUUUUAUUUCUAUGGCUUUGGUUAGCUUUCAUUUUUAUUACCUUUUAUCCAUUUUGGAAUAAAGUAGAUGGGCAUUUAUGCCCGCAUUAACAAGGUGGACCACUCUUGUGAAUGAGUGGUAUGCCUCCUUUUGUUUUUGUGGUUUUGUUUUCUCUGUGCAGGAACAAAGCAAAUCAAAAAUAAAAAGAAGAAAAAAAAAGAGAAGAGGGUAGCGAUGGAAACAUCCGGAGAUGCAGCACAUGGACAAGUGGCAUCCUAACAAAGCGGAAUAAAGCAAAGUCCNNNNNNNNNNCAUCAGGAAAAGUAUACCUGAAAAUUUGAGACAAAAAAAAAAAAACAGCAAUUUUUGCUAAAAUUUAAAAGACUUUUGUUAAAUUCAAAGUUGCAAUGGAUAAAAAAAUAAAAUUUUCAAGGUUUGCUUAAAAGAUAAUAUUUUUUGUCUCAGGACGGAAUUCCAGAUUGGGGGCAAAAAUAAAAUCUUUUGUCCUGAUGCAAAAUUCCAAAUUUCAAAAAUUACAAUUAUUAAUGCAUGGGGGCAUGUGAUGCUCCAACAUUUAACAAAGGCAAGAUCUGUUUGUACACAGAAAUUGCUCUUUCUCUCUUGAAAAUAUUUUCAAGCCAAGCAGUGAUAAUGCAUUACGAAGCUGUUUGGAUCUUUUUCUCGAUUCGUGAUGAUGCGUUACGAAGCGGAUCGAGUCAAUGUGUUUAGACGGUCCUUGAUAAUGUGUUUCGAAUAUCGGUGAUUUAAAAAAAAAAAAGAAAAGAAAAGAAAUUUAAUCUAUUAUCAAAGCACAUUGAUGUUAGAUAUCAAUGGAUCAGGGAUGUACCGGAGAUGAAGCAGUUACAGCUUGAGAAGAUCCACACAGAUGAAAAUGGAUAAGAUAUGUUAACGAAGAUUCUUCCAAAAGACAAGUUUGAAUAUUGUCGAUUAGCCGCAAGGAUGAUGGAGAGUAUGGCUAUAGUCCCCAUUUGAGUAUGCAGGGGGAGAUUUGAUGUGGCGGUGCCCACUGAGUGGGACCCACACACGUGAUGAAAGAAAGAAAGAAAAGAAAAAAAGGAAAGAAAAAUUGGCAUGCAUUUUGACAAAGAUGGAGAGCCGUGAAUGAGUUAUAUACGGCUCUCUCAUCUACCUCUCCUAUAAAUAGGUGAAAGUUUCUCAUUUCACAACACACAGCCACAGAUAGAAAUUAAUCUGUGAAGAGAGAUUUGAGAGUUAUUCAGUUUUAAGAAAGGGUUCUUAAAACUAAGGGUCUAGAAAAAUACUGAAGAUUAUUGAGGUGUUUUUUUGGGAAACACUUUUGAGUGCCACUAUUUUUGUAUUAUUCUCUUUGUAAGACUACUAUUUUUUAGUGGAAGAAAUAUUCGGAGUUGAUCCCGUGGAUGUACCCUUAACAGUUAAGGAUGAAUUACAUAAAAUUCUGUGUGUCACAAUUUUAACAUAAUUAUUCUCAUAAUUUAUUGUCGGUAUCCUAACAUAUACAAUCAAAAUCACCAAAAUGGUCAACAUUGUUUAAUUACAUCAAUCAAUCACACGACAUUUCCUCUUUAAAAAAUAAAUAAACCCUAUGACAUUUACAUCAAUAGACAAUAUAAAAUUAUUUAAAAAAUUUUCAAUCUUUAAUUAUUUAACCUUUUCAACAACUCUUCGUACAAUAUUCAAAGUUAGUUGCGUCUAAAACAUUAUUGUAUGAGUUAAAAACGGCAAACCUACCUCCAGAAAGAUAUUGUCGAGUUCGUAAGAAGCAAAGCGUAAAUAAUUACACCCCUUUUUGUUAAAUUCAAGUGAUUAUCUUUUGUAUUUUGUUUUGUUAUAUUGUUAUAUCAUUCUAUUUGUUUUAUAUUUUUUUAUUAGAUAUAAAGAUAAAUUCAUAAAUUUGCAAAGUAUAAAGAUGAAAUUAAUAAAUAAAUACAUGGACGGAUUAGUUAAUUUUGAUAAAGUAAUAUAAAAGAGAUAAAAAAAUAUAGUAAUGAAAUUAUAAUUAAAAAUACAGGAAUAAUAUUGUACAUUAUGGCAAAAUAUAGACGUUAAAAAUCACAACUUUUUUCCACCUAACAUUCAAAUGUUAAUAUUCUGAAUAUUUAUAAUUUUUUUUUGAGUUAAAGCGCAGACUCAACUUUAUAUUAUUUGGAUUAAAGAGAAAAGAAAAUAAGAGAAGUGCUAGUUUUGAAAACUUUUUUUUUUUUUUUUUGAGUAUCAGGGAGGGGAUUCGAAUCUAAAUCUUUUCUCAAACCGUAUAUGUAUUUAUCACUAGUUUAUACCUUGGUGUACUAAGUUUUGAAAAUAAUUUUUAGAUCGCAGAUAACUCAGGAAUGAUAAUAUAAUUAUCAGAAUUAUAUUAAACAUAAUAAACCUAGGGGUUGUAGCUCAGUUAGCAACACAGGCAAAGAGCUUUAACUAUGACUAAAUUCCAGCUGGAUUAGACAGUCCUUGAUAAUGUGCUUCGAAUAUCGGUCAUUUAAAAAAAAAAGAAAAGAAAAGAAAUUUAAUCUAUUAAACACAAAAAUUAUAUAGAACAUGUGCAUCAACUGGGCAAGUAUAAUUAUCAGAAUUACACAAGAAACUCUAUAAAACAGACAUUCAAAAUAUAUAGUUCAUGUGAUUUACUAAUAUUGUAUAUAUUUUUCUUCAAUUCAUGAAUGAUAAUAUUUAACAAUAAAUUGAACCACAUUAUUGUAAUAUCAUGAAAAUCACAUGCCAACUAACAAUAAAUUGAACUGCUGAGUUUUGUUGUACCUUUCAAAAAGUCACUUUACACAUAUUGAACUGCUGGAGUUUACCUAAGUCAUGUUAUCAUCAAGUCUUGCCCAUUAUAAAAGCACGUAAAGGCCAUAGCAUUUCCUUUAUCUUCGUUUCCAUCUUCCAUUGAUAAGUUGCUUAUUUUGCAAAUUUUGAAAAAAUGGUUGUUGCCGGUAAGCUCGAAGCAGAUGUGGAAAUCAAAGCUUCUGCGGACAAGUUUCAUGAUGUGUUUGGGUCCAGACCCCAUCACGUAAAGCAUGCUUCUCCUCACGUACAAGGUUGUGAAUUACACGAUGGUGAAUUUGGAAAAGAAGGCAGUGUUAUCUUCUGGAAUUAUGCUCAUGGUAAAAUUCCAACAUUUUUCUAUCUUAAAUACAUUAUGGAGAUUUGAACUCUUAAACUAGGUUUUUAAUUAUUAACUGCAGAUAAUUUUGAAGUUUUUUUAUUUUCUUUUUGAAAAUUUUCCUGAAAAUUCCAACAGAUGGAGUCCCUAGAGUUGCGAAAGAGAUUGUUGAAAAGAUAGACAAUGUAAACUUGUCUACCACCUUCAAAGUGAUUGAUGGAGAUUUACUGAAGGAGAAUAAGAGUUUCAAAAUCACUGUUAAAGCUACAUCAAAGGGUACUGGAAGUGUAGUGCACUGGACACUGGAGUAUGAGAAGCUGAAUAAAAAUAUUCCAGACCCUCAGUCUUUCCUUCAAUAUCUGAUUGAGGUCUCCAAAGAUAUUGAUGCCCAUCUUACCAAACCAUGAACUUAUAGCCUUAUCCAUCAAUAAACUGUUUGCUUGCUAUAUAUUAUAUAUAUGCGUGUGAUCAAGCCUACAGUGGAAUAAAUAUGUAAUAAAUAAAA
rnacentral:lncRNA from 1 species